rnacentral:rRNA from 1 species
CCUACGGGAGGCAGCAGUGAGGAAUAUUGGUCAAUGGGCUUACGCCUGAACCAGCCAAGUCGCGUGAGGGAAGACUGCCCUAUGGGUUGUAAACCUCUUUUGUCAGGGAGCAAUUUGCGCUACGUGUAGCGUUAUCGAGAGUACCUGAAGAAAAAGCAUCGGCUAACUCCGUGCCAGCAGCCGCGGUAAUACGGAGGAUGCGAGCGUUAUCCGGAUUUUUUGGGUUAAAGGGGUGCGUAGGCGGAAUGCCAAGUCAGCGGUAAACUCGCGGGGUCCAACCUCGCUUGGCCGUUGAAACUGGCGUUCUUGAGUGGGCGAGAGGUAUGCGGAAUGCGUGGUGUAGCGGUGAAAUGCAUAGAUAUCACGCAGAACUCCGAUUGCGAAGGCAGCAUACCGGCGCCCAACUGACGCUGAAGCACGAAAGCGUGGGUAUCGAACAGGAUUAGAUACCCGGGUAGUC